CAAAACUGGUUUUCCUUCGUCUGUGAAACAAAAUAAAUGAGUCACAUAUACACACUAUAUGAAAUCAAAUGCCCGUCAAAAGUGAAAUCGUUUAUCUCGUUUGUUGCUAGAUCAGAUAUGGUUGCUGUCGGAAGUUAACAAGAAUACAUUUAUAUUAUUUAUUAAAUUUCCUAUUUAUUGCAUUUUAUGAACGUCUCACCCUAAACCCAACCGCAAUGUAAAAAUAGUGUAAUGGAGUAUUAUUUAUUACAUUACCCAAUAAAUUGUAUUUUACCCCUCACCUUAACUCUUAACCCAACCGUCACAGUACUGUAAAAAUAUUCAAUAUUGUUAUGCAUUGUUAAAAAAUGAUGGCAACGCUAUACUGAUGCUUAUCCGCAGCUAUCCCGUCCACCUCAUACAUUUGAAUUUUAAACGUAACGUUAUUAUAUAAUCGACUUUCACUUACAAUUAUAACAACUUUUCACGUAAAAGAAAGUUCUGGAUAAUUGAAUAUAUGAUUAAAGACGUUUUUGUGGGGAUAAAAUAUCCCUUAAUGAGUAAAACUUCAUCCCGUUCGACUGGAUUACUACCACACAUCAGGUAAUUUUGGCCUUUCUGUCUUUGAGACAUAUUUUGACGACAUAUUGUGCAGUAAUUUGUCAGACCACAUGUAGCUUUGUUUUGAUACAAACUAGUCGUUUGAGCGAGGAUCCAAAAACGUGCGAGACGGAGUGCAAAUCUGAGGGAUCAGGAUCGAUGUGACCUUAAAAGCUUUUAACCUGCUCUGUGCCACUCAGUUACAGCUGUGAAGUUUUGCAUGGCAACAACCUCGCCGCUCAAAGUAAGGGGCGAUCUAUAUCCGACCAACUUCUUUCAAAAACGAAAACAUGCCUUUAGUUGUGUUCACAUAUUGUCUCGCUCUCGCAUUGAAGUCUUGUUUAAUUAAACAUUUCGAAUAAGAGUCGUUAUUGACUCCUGUAACGCGCGACUUGCCUGUCAACUUUUGUUUGUUGUUUUUGAAGUUCGCUAGUGUUGAAAUCUGCACAGCAACAAGCGCCAUGAUUGCGUUUGCGGAGUGCCCUAGUAACUGGCGCGCGCGGUUUCUAUCCAAUAAAAGAGCGCGUGAUGUGUUCGCAGUUAUGCGGUGGAACUGUUUUUCCCAACAUCCAUACUUUUCAUGGGAUUAUUGCAUUAUUAUAGAAACUAUUUAUUUUGACUUACCUCACGUUCUUGACCUUUGGGUGACUAGUAAGCAGAUGUCGAGGUAAAUGGACCAAAUGAAGGUUUCAAGUGAACAUCUUUAGUUCGCUCUAAAUGGAAACCUGGAAAAUUGGCAGACGUCUGUCCAAUUUCAAGCACGUUGCUAAUCUGCAGCGAUGGGUGGAUAUGAUUGCAGAAGUGCUCUGUGCACAAAAUCUUUUGCACACGGUUUGGUCAGUUCUGGUAAUAUGGUACCUGUUCUGAGAAAAACGUGAUAAUCACGCCAUUCUUACACAACCUGUCUUUCUCUCACUGAUGAAACCACCGUUAUCAGGUAAGUGUGCAGCAUUGAAAUCCACUGUAGUCAAAGCUUUAUUUUAUUACAUUAGCUUUAACAAACCAUGAUGAUAACUUCAGAAAGCCAAUGACUUUUCAAAACUCAAGCUUAAAAUUGAUCCUAAAUUUAUUUGAAUAUUCAAACAGAACCCACGAGUAGAUUCAAAUCAGCCGAGACAUGCAUUUUUAAAGAACUAAAUGAGUAAGCUAAACAACAAAGUACGCUUUUGUUCUAAAUCCUCUUUGAAAUGACUCUUACGUAGCGAGUGUAAGAAAUAAUUGACAUGACUCGUGUGCAAAGUGCAAAAUGAGUGGGCUAUUAAUAACAAUCAUUUCAGGCAUGACUAACUUGCAAUAUUUAUCAUGUUCUAUUUCUGAUGUUAGUUGUUUUUGUAAACCCUCCCCCCAGGUUUCUGUUCCAUUCAGCAUGUGCUCGUAUGCUUUUGUACCAGGUGAGCCCACACUGACAAUAAACUUUUGGAGUCACACAAGCGAGAGGACAGUGAAGCAUCUGCUGUCUAUAAGGCUAAAAUUACAGGUUAUGAAAAGAGGACUUCUGGGAGAACAAAAAAAUGAAAAGUGUUCGUGGACAAAAGCUUGUAGCCUCCCACAUUAUAAUAUUUACUUAUGUUGUUUGCUCUGUCUGUAUGCCUUUCACCUUUUUUUUUUCUCUUUUGUCAGGUACUUCAUGAGAAUAUAGACAUUUUUAGGCUAUUCUAUACAUUUCAUGCACUACAAAUUCACAUUUCUUAUAUUUCUUUUAUAGGCAAUAAUAAGGUUAAAUCAGUGGUGUACUUACAGUCACUUGAGUCUGUCACAGCUCAGUGUCAUGCCGUGUGCUCUACAUUCCUUUCCUGGAGAAAACAAAAAUAAAGACAUUCAUGAAGCACAAA